rnacentral:rRNA from 16 species
CUGGCUCAGGAUGAACGCUGGCGGCGUGCCUAACACAUGCAAGUCGAGCGAUUUACUUCGGUAAAGAGCGGCGGACGGGUGAGUAACGCGUGGGUAACCUGCCCUGUACACACGGAUAACAUACCGAAAGGUAUGCUAAUACGAGAUAAUAUGCUUUUAUCGCAUGGUAGAAGUAUCAAAGCUUUUGCGGUACAGGAUGGACCCGCGUCUGAUUAGCUAGUUGGUAAGGUAACGGCUUACCAAGGCGACGAUCAGUAGCCGACCUGAGAGGGUGACCGGCCACAUUGGGACUGAGACACGGCCCAGAC